GAUGAACGCUAGCGGCAGGCCUAAUACAUGCAAGUCGAACGAUAGUGAGAAGCUUGCUUCUCACGAAAGUGGCGCACGGGUGCGUAACGCGUAUGCAACCUACCUUAAUCAGGGGGAUAGCCCGAAGAAAUUCGGAUUAACACCGCAUAAAAUCACAGUAUAGCAUUAUACGAUGAUCAGAUAUUUAUAGGAUUAAGAUGGGCAUGCGUGACAUUAGUUAGUUGGCGGGGUAACGGCCCACCAAGACCACGAUGUCUAGGGGAUCUGAGAGGAUGACCCCCCACACUGGUACUGAGACACGGACCAGACUCCUACGGGAGGCAGCAGUAAGGAAUAUUGGUCAAUGGAGGCAACUCUGAACCAGCCAUGCCGCGUGCAGGAAGACAGCCCUCUGGGUCGUAAACUGCUUUUAUUCGGGAAUAAACCUAUCUACGUGUAGAUAGCUGAAUGUACCGAAGGAAUAAGGAUCGGCUAACUCCGUGCCAGCCGCCGCGGUAA
rnacentral:rRNA from 1 species